UUUUUCCUUUCCUUUUAUGCACCCUUCUAGUUUGAGACAGUCCUUCAUUUAUUUAUAUAAUGCUUCAUGCACUUUAAUUAAAUAUUUUGAGUAUGUCUUUGUAGAAUGCUCUAUGAACUUCACUUAUAUCUUUUAGAGUAUGAAUAAAUUUCCAUCGAAAUUAGGCUUGCAAGUGUAUCAAUGUCAUGCCUAGCUAGAAAGGCUUUAAAGAAAAACGCUUGUUGGAAGACAACCCAAAACUUUUACUUUAUGUUUUUGGUGUUCACAUGAUUAAGCUACUGUAUUAAUCAUGUUUUAUGCUUUCUAUUUUAAUAAAUUGCCAAGUAAAGCCUUUGGGAUAGUGUGGAUGAUAGUUGAAUUGAUUUUGUGCAAAGAAAGAAACUUUUGCUCUCAGUACAUGAAUUUUGUAAAUUCAUUGGAAUGUGGUUUUUAUAUGAAUCUUUUACACAUGAUUUAUAUACAAAUUUCCUGGUUUGUCCUAAUUUUUUCAGAAUUGUUAGAGACAGAGAAGUAUG
rnacentral:lncRNA from 1 species